UGGCACAUGUGCCCCCACAUGGGCUUGGCCAGUUGUUCUGGGUUGACCAGGGCUGUACCCUGCAGAUUUUCCCAGACUGAUUGGCGAUAUGCAGCUAUUGUGUAUUCAAUUCUGUGAGCGAUCCCCACUUCAUCCAUAUGGCGGAACCACAAAAUACCCGGACCA